AUUGAACGCUGGCGGCAGGCCUAACACAUGCAAGUCGAACGGUAACAGAAAGCAGCUUGCUGCUUUGCUGACGAGUGGCGGACGGGUGAGUAAUGUCUGGGAAACUGCCUGAUGGAGGGGGAUAACUACUGGAAACGGUAGCUAAUACCGCAUAACGUCGCAAGACCAAAGAGGGGGACCUUCGGGCCUCUUGCCAUCGGAUGUGCCCAGAUGGGAUUAGCUAGUAGGUGGGGUAACGGCUCACCUAGGCGACGAUCCCUAGCUGGUCUGAGAGGAUGACCAGCCACGCUGGAACUGAGACACGGUCCAGACUCCUACGGGAGGCAGCAGUGGGGAAUAUUGCACAAUGGGCGCAAGCCUGAUGCAGCCAUGCCGCGUGUAUGAAGAAGGCCUUCGGGUUGUAAAGUACUUUCAGCGGGGAGGAAGGGAGUAAAGUUAAUACCUUUGCUCAUUGACGUUACCCGCAGAAGAAGCACCGGCUAACUCCGUG
rnacentral:rRNA from 1 species